AUUUAUAUAGUUUAUUAAAAACAUUACAUUUUCACUGUAAAAAAAAAUAAUAUUUUAUAAAUA
rnacentral:tRNA from 1 species